CCCUUAGAUGUUCUGGGCUGCACGCGCGCUACACUGAUGCAUCCAGCGAGUUGUACCCUUGCUUGGUAAAGUUUGGUAAUCUGAGGCUAAUGUGCAUCGUGAUGGGAAUAGAGUUUUGCAACUAUUAGUCUUGAACGAGGAAUUCCUCGUAAGCACGAGUCAUCAGCUUGUGCUGAUUACGUCCCUGCCCUUUGUACACACCGCCCGUCGCACCUACCGAUUGAAUGGUCCGGUGAAGCCUCCGGAUUGGACGUGCUGACCCUGUCAGCCGGCCGAGAAGUUGGCUAAAUCUUACCAUUUAGAGGAAGGUGAAGUCGUAACA
rnacentral:rRNA from 1 species